UCAUGGCUCAGAUUGAACGCUGGCGGAAUGCUUUACACAUGCAAGUCGAGCGGCAGCGCGGGGGCAACCCUGGCGGCGAGCGGCGAACGGGUGAGUAACAUAUCGGAACGUACCCAGUCGUGGGGGAUAACUAUCCGAAAGGAUAGCUAAUACCGCAUACGUCCUGAGGGAGAAAGCGGGGGAUCGCAAGACCUCGCGCGAUUGGAGCGGCCGAUAUCGGAUUAGCUAGUUGGUGGGGUAAAGGCUCACCAAGGCGACGAUCCGUAGCGGGUCUGAGAGGACGACCCGCCACACUGGAACUGAGACACGGUCCAGACUCCUACGGGAGGCAGCAGUGGGGAAUUUUGGACAAUGGGCGCAAGCCUGAUCCAGCCAUGCCGCGUGAGUGAAGAAGGCCUUCGGGUUGUAAAGCUCUUUCGGCCGGGAAGAAAUCGCACGGGUUAAUACCCUGUGUGGAUGACGGUACCGGAAUAAGAAGCACCGGCUAACUACGUG
rnacentral:rRNA from 1 species